CAGUGGACGUCGAGUUAAAGCUUAACGACUUAAAGCCACCACCGGACAUGACGAAGAGG
rnacentral:sRNA from 1 species